UUUUUUUGGUCAGUUUCAGAAUGGUUUAGAGACCAAUUUGGUUCUUCUCCAAUGACGUUUUUUGGCGUUGUAUCUUAUAGUGUUUCCUGUCCUCAUUCGCACCCAUUGUGGGAUCGGCCGGUUUUGCUUCAUCUUUUUGGCCAGUUUUCUUUUGAUCUGGAAAGACUUUUGAUCUGGAACAAGUAUCCCAAAAUUCCGCAUUUCCGCAAUGCGAUUUUCCGCUGGUGUGCAUCCGCGAACCGCGUUAAAAAGUAGGCAUCAAAU